rnacentral:rRNA from 1 species
UACGUAGGGGGCAAGCGUUAUCCGGAAUUACUGGGUGUAAAGGGAGCGUAGACGGUUAAGUAAGUCUGGAGUGAAAGGCCGGGGCCCAACCCCGGGACUGCUUUUGAAACUGUACAGCUUGAUUGCAGGAGAGGCAAGUGGAAUUCCUAGUGUAGCGGUGAAAUGCGUAGAUAUUAGGAGGAACACCAGUGGCGAAGGCGGCUUACUGGACUGUAACUGACGUUGAGGCUCGAAAGCGUAGGGAGCAAACAGG